GUCAGUGUGGUGUAGUGGUUUGAGCAUUGGACUGUGACUCUGGAGACCAGGGUUCAAAUCUCUGUUUGGCCA
rnacentral:tRNA from 1 species